CUUCAACGACCCCAACCACAGCGGACGCUCCUCCGCCCGACCCUGGCCAUACGUCGCCAACAACGCCUGCGCCUC
rfam:Streptomyces lydicus strain 103, complete genome.